GAGGAAAGUCCGGGCUCCACGAAAACACGGUGCCGGAUAACGUCCGGCGGGGGCGACCCCAGGGAAAGUGCCACAGAAAGCAAACCGCCCGGCUCCGGCCGGGCAAGGGUGAAAGGGUGCGGUAAGAGCGCACCGCGGCCCCGGCGACGGGGACGGCACGGCAAACCCCACCGGGAGCAAGACCGAAUAGGGACGGCGCGCCGCAAGGCAGGCGACGUUUUCGCGCCGCCGUCCGGGUUGGUCGCUCGAGGCGUCUGGCAACAGCCGCCCUAGAUGAAUGGCCAUCCCCCGCCCUCGGGCGGGGACAGAACCCGGCUUA
rnacentral:RNase_P_RNA from 1 species